GCGCAGCAGUCGAGAAAACUUUACAAUGUGCGAAAGCACGAUAAGGGAACUCUGAGUGCCUCCUAAGGAGGCUGUUCUGAUGUCUAAAAAGCAACAGAAGUAAGGGCUGGGUAAGACCGGUGCCAGCCGCCGCGGUAACACCGGCAGCCCAAGUGGUAGCCACGUUUAUUGGGUCUAAAGCGUUCGUAGCCGGCCAGGUAAGUUCCUUGGUAAAUUUAGCCGCUUAACGGUUAAGCUUUCAGGGGAAUACUGCUUGGCUUGGGACUGGGAGAGGUCAGAGGUACUCCGGGGGUAGGGGUGAAAUCUAUUAAUCCUUGGGGGACCACCGGUAGCGAAGGCGUCUGACCAGACCAGGUCCGACGGUGAGGGACGAAGGGCUA
rnacentral:rRNA from 1 species